rnacentral:rRNA from 1 species
AUCUUGGACAAUGGGGGAAACCCUGAUCCAGCCAUGCCGCGUGAGUGAUGAAGGCCUUCGGGUUGUAAAGCUCUUUUGUGUGGGAAGAUAAUGACUGUACCACAAGAAUAAGCCCCGGCUAACUUCGUGCCAGCAGCCGCGGUAAUACGAAGGGGGCUAGCGUUGUUCGGAAUUACUGGGCGUAAAGGGUGCGUAGGUGGUUAUGUAAGUCAGAAGUGAAAGCCCUGGGCUCAACCCUGGAAUUGCUUUUGAAACUAUGUAGCUAGAGUUCGAGAGAGGUAAGUGGAAUAUCCAGUGUAGAGGUAAAAUUCGUAGAUAUUGGAUGGAACACCAGUGGCGAAGGCGGCUUACUGCUCGAUACUACACUGAGGCACGAAA